GGGAUCUGUUGUGUGUGUGGGCCUAUUCCACACGCAACUGAACGGUCCAGGGACAAAGACAAGGAAAAAUGGAGGGUCCAGGUUUAAAUACGGAGGACAGGGGGCGGAGCAGAGCAUCAGGGCCAAUGGGCUGAGGGCUCAGGGGUGGGGCAAAGGCGGGGCCAAAGGUGACAACCAAUAGGGUAAAAGGGGGCGGGGCACUGUGGCAAAAUGGGGCCAAUGGGUGACCAGGGAAGGGAGAACAUUCCAGGGAACAUCCAUAUAAGGGGAAAAGGGUGGAGAGGCCAACGGGCCAACCAGGGACACAGAGCUGGGAGCACAAAAGCUGUUCACAGAAUGCAAGAAGACUUGAAGCAAGGACACCAUUAGCGCUGCCAUGCAUUGCUCACCCAAUCCAAGAGCUGGAAAUUAUGAU
rnacentral:lncRNA from 12 species